GUUCGAGCGGAACUUUGGGAGCUUGCUCCCUUAGUUUAGCGGCGGACGGGUGAGUAACACGUGGGCAACCUGCCCUGCAGAUCGGGAUAACUCCGGGAAACCGGUGCUAAUACCGAAUAGUUUUUUGCCCCUCCUGGGGCGGAACGGAAAGACGGUUUCGGCUGUCACUGCAGGAUGGGCCCGCGGCGCAUUAGCUAGUUGGUGAGGUAAUGGCUCACCAAGGCGACGAUGCGUAGCCGACCUGAGAGGGUGAUCGGCCACACUGGGACUGAGACACGGCCCAGACUCCUACGGGAGGCAGCAGUAGGGAAUCUUCCGCAAUGGACGAAAGUCUGACGGAGCAACGCCGCGUGAGUGACGAAGGUUUUCGGAUCGUAAAACUCUGUUGUAAGGGAAGAACACAUGCCAUUUAACUGAUGGCAUCUUGACGGUACCUUACCAGAAAGCCACGGCUAACUACGUGCCAGCAGCCGCGGUAAUACGUAGGUGGCAAGCGUUGUCCGGAAUUAUUGGGCGUAAAGCGCGCGCAGGCGGUCCUUUAAGUCUGAUGUGAAAGCCCACGGCUCAACCGUGGAGGGUCAUUGGAAACUGGAGGACUUGAGUGCAGAAGAGGAAAGUGGAAUUCCACGUGUAGCUGUGAAAUGCGUAGAGAUGUGGAGGAACACC
rnacentral:rRNA from 1 species